AGUCAGCUUCCUGCCCUGAGAAGCUCCCUGCGGCAACAAGGGCAGAAGGGGGUCCACAGCCUGCUAUUUGCCCUUCUGAGCUGCGAGGUUGUUUGGUGUGACCCUGCACUGACCCCACCCUGAGUGCUGAAGGACAAAGCCAACCCAGAGGAGCCAAGUAGGAGAUGGGGACAAAACUUCCAGACAGCAACGUCUGAGCCCUAGGCCCAGCGGCACCUGAAGCAAUCGCGUUCUCCCCUUCUGUCAGGCUUCGAUAACCAGCGUGGAGCCCAAUGUGG